rnacentral:rRNA from 1 species
UUCCGGUUGAUCCUGCCGGACCUGACUGCUAUCGGAUUGAUACUAAGCCAUGCGAGUCAUUGUAGCAAUACAAGGCAGACGGCUCAGUAACGCGUAGUCAACCUAACCUAUGGACGGGAAUAACCUCGGGAAACUGAGAAUAAUGCCCGAUAGAACACUAUACCUGGAAUGGUUUGUGUUCCAAAUGAUUUAUCGCCGUAGGAUGGGACUGCGGCCUAUCAGUUUGUUGGUGAGGUAAUGGCCCACCAAGACUAUUACAGGUACGGGCUCUGAGAGGAGUAGCCCGGAGAUGGGUACUGAGACACGGACCCAGGCCCUAUGGGGCGCAGCAGGCGAGAAAACUUUGCAAUGUGCGAAAGCACGACAAGGUUAAUCCGAGUGAUUUGUGCUAAACGAAUCUUUUGUUAGUCCUAGAACCACUAACGAAUAAGGGGUGGGCAAGUUCUGGUGUCAGCCGCCGCGGUAAAACCAGCACCUCAAGUGGUCAGGAUGAUUAUUGGGCCUAAAGCAUCCGUAGCCGGCUCUGUAAGUUUUCGGUUAAAUCUGUACGCUUAACGUACAGGCUGCCGGGAAUACUGCAGAGCUAGGGAGUGGGAGAGGUAGACGGUACUCGGUAGGAAGGGGGUAAAAUCCUUUGAUCUAUUGAUGAC